rnacentral:rRNA from 1 species
GACGAACGCUGGCGGCGUGCCUAAUACAUGCAAGUAGAACGCACAGUUUAUCCCGUAGCUUGCUACACCAUAGACUGUGAGUUGCGAACGGGUGAGUAACGCGUAGGUAACCUGCCUGGUAGCGGGGGAUAACUAUUGGAAACGAUAGCUAAUACCGCAUAAUAUUGAUUAUUGCAUGAUAAUUGAUUGAAAGAUGCUAUUGCAUCACUACCAGAUGGACCUGCGUUGUAUUAGCUAGUAGGUGAGGUAACGGCUCACCUAGGCGACGAUACAUAGCCGACCUGAGAGGGUGAUCGGCCACACUGGGACUGAGACACGGCCCAGACUCCUACGGGAGGCAGCAGUAGGGAAUCUUCGGCAAUGGACGAAAGUCUGACCGAGCAACGCCGCGUGAGUGAAGAAGGUUUUCGGAUCGUAAAGCUCUGUUGUAAGAGAAGAACGGGUGUGAGAGUGGAAAGUUCACACUGUGACGGUAUCUUACCAGAAAGGGACGGCUAACUACGUG